rnacentral:tRNA from 3 species
GCAGCCGUGGUGUAGCCUGGCUAACACGUCCCCCUGUCACGGGGAAGAUCACGGGUUCAAAUCCCGUCGGCUGCGCCC